GAUCAUGGCUCAGAUUGAACGCUGGCGGAAUGCUUUACACAUGCAAGUCGAACGGUAGAGGGGGCAACCCUUGAGAGUGGCGAACGGGUGAGUAAUAUAUCGGAACGUGCCCAGUCGUGGGGGAUAACGUAGCGAAAGCUACGCUAAUACCGCAUACGAUCUACGGAUGAAAGCGGGGAUCGCAAGACCUCGCGCGAUUGGAGCGGCCGAUAUCAGAUUAGGUAGUUGGUGAGGUAAAGGCUCACCAAGCCGACGAUCUGUAGCUGGUCUGAGAGGACGACCAGCCACACUGGGAUUGAGACACGGCCCAGACUCCUACGGGAGGCAGCAGUGGGGAAUUUUGGACAAUGGGCGCAAGCCUGAUCCAGCAAUGCCGCGUGCAGGAUGAAGGCCUUCGGGUUGUAAACUGCUUUGUACGGAACGAAACGGUGAGCUCUAAUACAGUUUGCUAAUGACGGUACCGUAAGAAUAAGCACCGGCUAACUACGUG
rnacentral:rRNA from 1 species